rnacentral:rRNA from 1 species
UACGUAGGGUGCAAGCGUUAUCCGGAAUUAUUGGGCGUAAAGGGCUCGUAGGCGGUUUGUCGCGUCGGGAGUGAAAACACCGGGCUUAACUCGGUGCUUGCUUUCGAUACGGGCAGACUAGAGGCAUGCAGGGGAGAACGGAAUUCCUGGUGUAGCGGUGAAAUGCGCAGAUAUCAGGAGGAACACCGGUGGCGAAGGCGGUUCUCUGGGCAUUACCUGACGCUGAGGAGCGAAAGUGUGGGGAGCGAACAGG